GCAGGUUUUCCAUCAGAGUCCCAGCUCAGCCUGGAGAGCAAAGGUGACUCUGUCUGACUCCAGAACUGGGUGGUUCCAUCUCCACCCCAUGGAAAGACCCCACUAAAUCACCCCAGGAGGCCUCUGCAGCUGAAAGGGAAAAUGAGGAUGGCUCCAGUGGCACAUCCUGAGCUGGGCUCAGGUUGAGAGAGGAUUUGGGAGCUGUGUCUGACCAUUCCACAUGGGGAAAAACCAGAUUUCAUUGCUCUGAAGGCACAGGAUUUGGGAUCAGGCUGAUGGUGGGAUGUUCCUGUCACAGAAGGGGCUCCUCUGUGCAAGCUAACAUGGAAUUCAGCUGGAGAAAAAAGGCAUCAUUCCAAGAUGUGCUGGUCCAUAGGGUAAAUAGCAGGCAAUCCCUGAGCUUGUGGAGGGGACAAAGGAACAGAGCUUCAGGAGGUGUUUAAUUUUCCAAGCAGAUGUUGCACUAGGAGGAGUCAGGGUCAUAAGGCAGGCUCAGGACAUGUCUCUCCUCAGGAGCAGCUCCCUGCUUCCCUUCCAAUUCAUUCAGGCUUGGAACAAAAAUGCUGCUCCAGAUGGCAGGGGCAGCACUCCCUGUGACACGGAGAGGGGCUGCUUGCUGAGGGCCAGGCGAUGAGGGGAUAAAAAGGGAGCCAGGAGGUCAGGCAGAGGAGGGAGUGGGAGCAGCCACACCAUUUUAGCUCCAGGUCACUGCCUCCAAAGGUUGGGGCUGGCAGAUGAGGGAGCAUUUGGACAGCCAGGCUCUCUUGGCUGGAACAAUAUGCACAACUGUGUGAUCUGUUCUGUUGUUUCCACAACCUGGCAUUACAAAGGCCAAAGAAUAAAAAUGUGUCUCCCUCUCACCUGGCUUCUGGGCUGAGCUUGUUGGGCAUAUGGCAUCCCAGAUUUAUAGUUCUGAUUUAUGGUAAUAAAUCCCCUUUUCCCAGGGGAUGAGAGGAAGAGUCACAGAAGUAGAAUAAGCAACUGCUGGGAAAGCAGUGAUCAAUGUCCACUCUGGGAGGAAACAUUGCUGAUCAAAACUGCUCCCAGCAGGAUUGUCAGGGAAGCCACAGCCAGUUCCUAGAGGAAUUGAUUUCUUCAUAAUCAUCUUUAAUGAGCAUCUUUAUCAUGCUAGCUGAGGGAUUGCACUGCUUCCAGCAGGGAACUUCUGCUAACAGAUUAAAAAUGUUUUUUUGCUUUUUUAUGCACCUGACUUAUCUCAUGGAGGGGAAGAAAAUCUGACAAUGCAUCUUGGCUCUGAGAAAAAUGCUAAAAGCAAGUUGGAGGAGAAAGGUGGGGAAAUAAAAGUGGAUUUUCUCAGAGGAUCUACUUGGAAAUACAAAGGAGGCUGAAAUGGAAUGAAAUGCAUUCAAGGGAUAAUGUCUCUCUGCCAUCAUAUUUCAAGUGCAAGACCACAAGGAAGUGAAAUUCACCUUCACACUGCACAUGCCAACCUGAUCCAGCCAUGGAUGGAAGCAAGGCCAGGGAAUGCUUGCUGCAGCCCCAUGAAGACAUGAACACCAACAGGCAGCUGAGGAAAGGCAGCAGGCUAAAUGGUCAGGACAAAUGAGCUGUUAUUUGGGCCAAGCUGGCUUUGUUCCUGCCUUUCAGGAGCCCACACACGAGCUCUCUGAACCUGGGAGCAGAUGAUCAGCAGUGAAAGUGCUGGAGGGCCUCAAUCUGCAAGUGCUGUUCAUGAAUUAUUAACAAGGCUUCUCCUGCCAGGGAAGUUAUGCACAGGAAAGAAGAGAUUCCCUCUAUGCAGAGCUGCUGCUAUCCAAAGGACAAAACAGCAGCCAGCAGGACUCUUGUCUCCUCUGUCACAGAUAUGAAGAAAGAGGGAACCUUUAUUAAUGGAAAUUUAAUUUGUCGUGUGUGAUUUUGCAGACUGAUGAACAGGCUUAUUUAUAAUGCUGUAAAGGAGCUGUGCUGGGGAUGGUGGUACAAGAAUAAAUUUACUAGGG